AUACAACCAGUAGCAAAGAAAGAAACUAAUAAUAAUAUAAAAAGAUUCACAUGCCUUCCUUCCCCAGCAUACUAAUGCCUUGCCCAAUGAAUUUCCCAAGUUGUUAACAAAUGAGGUGCAGUAUAUUUAAUAAUAUUAACAUAUUGUUGCAAGGCUUAUUUAAUAACAGGUAGGAGGGAUGAGUUCUCAUGUCAGAAAAUGGAGGGCCUCAUGCCAUUUGGAGACCUGCUCAUUAUCCGUUCUUACAAUUUAAUGAUAUAUGUGUCUAUUACCGAGGAGAAGUAGAGGAUCUACUCAGGAACUCUGUGAGAUUGAUUGACUGGAAAAACGCAUAAAGGCUUAAACUAUCUUACAUCAUCUGCCAUGCAUACAGGACACUUUCUCUGCUAUGUGAAAAACUCUGAGCAACUGGAGACAGUGAAAAUAUGUAAAUGGGACUGGGCUGAUUUCAAGGAGAUGACAUGUGGGUUCUGAAUGUGUUCGGCAAACCAGGAAAUCACAUCCUUCCCAUUCCAGGAACCAGGACCUCAUGAGCGAACUUCGCUCUGGAGAAACCUAGUGAGACGUGAGAACAACUUGUGCAAUAAAAUCAGCGGGGAAUGGAUAUCAAAGUGUACAGCAACAUACUCAGCUGUCCCCAGAUGUUCAGAUACCAAGAAGAUGACAAUGAGGAGCCUGGGAGAUGGCAUUCCUUGAACCUCAACAACUCCAACAGUCUCACAAGCAUUCAAAUGGGUUAGAGGAGAGUUUGCUCUUGUAUUUCUUCCUGUAAUAGCACACACAUAUCAGACCAAUGUUUUACACCUCUUCAACACACACAGUGGCUGAAAUGGAUAAUUUGGAAAAGAGAUGGAUGGCAACAAGUGUGAGUGUGGAACACUAAUCCUUAGCUGAUUCCACAAAAGUCGUAUACUAUUUAUUCAAUAGUAAGUGAGAAUGAAGCAAGGGUCUGCCCAUAUGAGAGGGCCGGAAGUGGAAGGACUGUCAUGGAUUUCAUCUGAAUCAGUUUGCAUUCACAUGUCUUUGGUUUAAUUCUUAGGGAGCCCCAAGUGGAGCCAGGAGAUGGGCUCAGUGAUCUUCGGGGACAUUCUGUGAUUCUCCACCUAUUAGGCAUAAAUUGAAAUAGCACUGAGAACCACAGUAAAGUUCAGCAAAUUGCACAGGGAAUUGGUUUUCAUCCAUCAGUUAGGAAAGAAAAGCUUGCAGGCCAAAAGAGAUCAGAAGUCUGUACGUUGUGCUGUGUUGCCAGCAUCAGCCACUGGCAGAUCGCAAUUCAGAAGAUGAAACAGUUUGCAGUGUAAAGACAGGGAGUGUUAACUGAGAAUCUUAAAAUGAAACGUAACUGUGUAGUUAAUAGCCUUAUGACAGGGCAAAGCAGAACAAAAUACGGAACAAGAAAGGACAUCUCCCAUGCUUCUUACUACAGGAAACAAACUUUCACUAUCGAUGACAAUAGCUAUUGUAGAAGAAGAUGGAUGGCAUUGACACAGCAUGUGAUUACUGAGAUAGAUUUUCUUGGUCAAGCCAAAUAUUUUUGAUUGAAGAAGAAAUAAAUAUAUUUUUCACUUCAUGUUAUAGCUGCUGUUGUCUGAAACCCAGUGGGGAAAAACAAUUGUAAAAACAUAUUUUGUUUUCCUGAUUAUUUUCCAAAGGAACUCUGAACAAAACACAUUCAGGAGUUGAAAAAUCCAACUGGCUCUGAUGUUUCCUGUUUUCCUGGAUUGCAGCAGUGCUGAUAGUCAGAUACGGCAUGAGAAGGGUGUGGGAAAUGGCAGCAGAACAUACCCUGCCCUGUCUUGGAACAUGAGGAACUUCACCUAUGCUCAAAGAGAAGAUCGAGGAAAACUGGCAGAGGGAGGAAGCGUAUCUGGAGUGUUUUGGCUGUCGUGUAAAAUUUAAAAGAAUGUAUAAAUCCAUUGCAAAGGCUGUGCUUUGUAACAAUCUCCUUCCGUGAAUUUUGCUGGUUUCUGAAAUUCCCCAUCUGCAAACUUCUAUUAUAUUCUUCUCAGUUCUUCCCUGAUUCUUCUUUUUUUAUUAUUAUUAUUGAAUCCCCCAGGAUUUUCUAGCCAGAGGAACAUGUAGCUCUCAUAAACGAUGUAGACCUGCAUCCCUUUGGCUUCUCUGCUCUGAUGUGCUCAGGGAAAACCUGAAAAUAGACAUCAGGAUGGUUUCUUCACCCUCUGCCACUGUCUGACAUAGAUGACCUUCAUCAAGUCACAUCAUCACACACACCCAUUUAUAGAUCAGAGAGGGCAGUACUGCCUCAUUUGAGCACUGCUGUGGGUUAUGGGAGCCUUGCUAACUGCAGGGGCUGUGCAAAGGGAGCGCUGCGCAGGUUCAGACUGUCCCUGUGCAAGGAUUCCUCCGACGGCAGCACCGCCACGUCCCGUCUCACAGCACCUGACAACAUUCCAGUUGGAGCUUGCACUUUCAGGCAGGGGCUUUCAAGUUUGAUCCCUUCAAAUCUCUGAAGUUCACCCGCACAAUUACCUCUGCUGUUCAAAGCAAGCCAGGGCUUAGAUGGAAAUAAAGAACACGAAAGGAUUUCCCAGGGUGCUCCUGGAUACAGAGAAAAAAAAAAAAAAAAAAAGGAAUGGAAAGGGAAAAAAAAAAAAGAAGAGAGAAAGAAGAAAGAGAAGAAGCAUUACACCUUGAAGUUCUUGCAGUUUAUGUGAUAUUGUGUGAUAUUAAAUGGCCAAAUUCUGUUCUCAGGUGGCUGAGAUCAAGCCCUGCUAUGCUGCUGUUGCAGCCAUCAGCACACAUCUUGGUGCUCUGUGUGCUCAGGGGGAACAGCUGUGGGAUCCCUGAGGGUAUGGGGACCUAAUUUGCCCUAAAAAGCCCAGAGGACCUUUGCUAGCAGUUGUAACACUUCUCUCAAACAGUAUUGUGUUUUCAGCUGGAGACAGCAGCUGCCCCUUGCAGAAUUCAGGCUCCAUCAGACCGAAGCUCCAUCCCGUUGUUUUAUGAGAAAUUCACAUACACAUAGCUGUAAAUUAGACAUAUCAUGGAUUAACCUGUAAUAAGCUGCUCCUUUAGGUUUAAAAUUGUUACCAAUGAGCCGCAAAUUUUAACUAUUACCUACACCUUAUUCCCUCCCUGACUCCGUUUGCCCUGUUUCCAGUGUUGACCUCACUUCCUGCUUUUCUCUUUCUUCUCCUGCUAAUUAGGCAUAUUUGUAUGUCUUAGGAGGGCACCUGAUCUUGCUGCUUAUUUCCCACUUGGAUCAAAAGUCUUUAAAAAAAGUUUCAGCUUUUAAAACACAUUUUACGAGAUGACUAUAUAUAUAACUAACCUCUUAGGAUCGAUACUGACCUACAUCUUUUUCUUCUGUCAUAAUGGGCUUAUCUUUACCUGAUGCUUAAAAUAAUCUUUUCACCUGAGCAGUUCUGUCAUUUACACUUUCUUUCUCUUUCUGUCUGUUAAAAAAACAUUGCAAGGAAAAGAAAAAUCAUCUAUUGGAUACAGCCUGUUUGCACUGGGCACACAUGUUUAUGAAUCAGAUAAGACCUUUGUGUGUCAGGUAGGUGGUGGCACUAAAAGCUUUGUAUAUCACGACAUCAAAGCAGCCAGGAGAUGAAAGAGCAUAUUUUUGCAUCAUAAACAAUAUUUACAUAUUGUGAUAUUCCAAGAAUCUUUCAUUUAAACAGGUGGAAAAACAGGGAAGCAAGCACACAUGCAAGGCAAAAUCUUACUUGUGGUUGAUGAUUAAAUUUUAUAUGGCUUUGAUAUAACCACUGCAAUUAAGUGCAGUGAUGAGCAAGGACUUGUUUUGCUCUUUAUAGGGUACACAUUGUUUACUAAUCCCUGGUUCAUAUGAUAAAUCCGUCAUCAUCUGGGCACAGCUGCAAAUAAAAUUUUAAAAGGACAAUUUUCACCCAGUGGAGCAAAUUUCAGACUUCUUCUCUCUCCUGUGCCGUCUCACUGUAUUUUUUCCCCCUGUGCAAAGCUUAAUAUAGGCAACUUUUGAACUCAGACUCAGACUUCAGCCCUUUUGUCGCCAGAUUCUAUCAAUUGUCAGGCUCUGGAUCACACAUUCUCAAUGUAAAUAGAGGCUGGAGAUUCAUUUAGCAUUGCAGCCGAAGGUGGUUGUUAAAAACUGGAACGCGCUCAAUCACUGCAAAUCAACACACUGCAAUUUUCACUUUUCCUGAUUUUGAGCAUUCAUCACCACUUGCUCUUCACCCUUGAAAAGAAGGGCAAAAAGACAAAUUACUUUAAUUAGGAAUUAGUUAUGAGAGAAUGAGGUGUUCUAAUUAUAUCUAGAACCUCUUAAAUAGUUUCACUCAGGCUUAUUUGAUUUCUUAAUUACUGAAAGAGAAAAGCCGCGUGCAAAUUGUGUCAGUUUUUUAAAAGUGAAAUGCUGUCGCUCCUUUGAUAUGAUGGAUUAGUCUUCAAUGAACAGCGGUAAGGCAAUAACACCUCUAAGACAGCACAUGCAUUAGCACAGGACAAUCUUUUUUUGUUGAAACAUUAGAUAAUCACCUUCUCCCGUAUCUCAAAAUACAUUAUUUUAUACACUACGGUGUGAAACCAUAGAUGUGACAGGCUGUAAUGAUUUAUUUAUGAGACAUUAUUCUUUGAUGCAAGAAUACAUUAGGUUAUAGAUCCCAUUUCCACAGAUAUAAUAUGUCAUGUGCUGCAUCUGAGCUCCAGUAAGAUACUGUGGGAUGUGAGUUUCAUUUUGUAUAUAUAAAACUGCAUAUAAAUAUAUAUUUUAUGGCUCUAUCAACAACCAAAGUUGAACAGCAGUUUCCCUUUUAAUGGAUCCUUCAAAUCAUAUUUUUCCUGGGCUUGUCUGAAAAUAUAUAUCAAAUUGGUGGUAGGUCUGAAGAGACUGUGGUGGCAACAGUAUUUAGUUUAUAAAUGCUUUGAAUACUAUUCUUUGUUAUGGAUGUUGAAUGUAUCUAUUUUAGCUAUUUCAGGAAUUAUGUAGAUCAUUUUGAAAGUAAUUAUCCAGAUUAUUAGCAGCAUUUUUCAACUGUAUCUUUGCUUGUCUUAAUAACAUGUCCAACUGUAUCUGAAACACAGAGUGCAGCUCAAAUUCUGAAUCAGAAAGCGCAGCACAAAUUUAAAAUCCCUCUAAAAAUGGUUUUCAUGAUUUCUUAUUCUAUUUUUCUUCCUCUCUUCUUUACUGAAGGCAAAAUUUGUGAAAGAUUCAGUGUUGGAUGGACGUGUCUACCAGGCAAAGACAGCAGCUAGUGUUCAUCACAUCUGCAGUCCUACUCUGGCAGGAUCAGGACUCGGAUGGCCAGUGCCUAUGGGGCUGAGAGUGAGGAGGGACCUGGAACCUCAUGGGGACAGGAAAAGAAGAGUCAGGUCCUGUUCCAUGGAGAAACAGAAGGAAUUAGAGUAUCCUCCUCUCAACAAAGACAGUUCUUCCAUUUCAUGGAAAGAGGAUGCACCACUGCUUGCUUCAGUCUGCUAUAAUACUUGCAGAAAUUGCCUACAUCAUCUACAUUCAAAGCCUGCUCUGUAAUGGGCAGUGGAUAUCACUUAUGUAAUUAAGCAGAGGUAAAUAAACAUGCGUAUGGUACGCAGUUAAGCUAAUCAUCCCAGAUUAUCAGUACAGUCAGUGAGGACAUAGACAGGCUAUGCAUAGGAAUCUUGAGUGUGAUUCGUCCUCCUUAAGUAAAUGUAUACAGUAGGUCAGGAAAACUGCACCCUAAAAACACUUAUUUCUCUUCCUUGCCUAUAAGGAGAGCCCAGAGUGAUUAGCACAGCUGUAGAUAUCUAUUCUGUAGAUGCUGAAAGAGAAAUGACACAAAUUCCACCCUGAUGUCUGCAAAAACAAAUGAAGUUUGCCAUAAUGGUGGUGGUUGAGCUGUGGCUUGCAACGCACAACAGGAAUAUGUGGAGAUGCUUCUAGCUUCUCCUUGAUCAACUCUGAGCAUCAAUAGUUUGCAGAGGUGUCUCAGGGCACUUGUUGCUAAAGUCAUAAUUAGUCUGUUGGUAAGGUGGGACACAAAUCAGAUUUAGAUUCCUGAAAGAGAUGCAGCUCUUACAUUGUGGAGGAUAAAAACAGAACAUUUAAUUGCCAAAUGGACAUAUGAAUAUGUCGAUCAAAAAACUUUUUUUUUUUUUUGGGGGGGGGGGGAAGUAAAAAGUUAUGUCUUAGGUGGAGGAACAACUGGCUAAUCCUUCAUAGAAUCAUUAUCCUAGAAUCAUAGAUUCAUUAAGGUUGGAAGAGACCAAGAUCAUCUGCUCCAACUGUCGACUCAUCCCCAGCAUGCCCACUAAAUCAUACCCCUCAGUGCCUGAACUCUUCCAGGGACAGUGACUCCACCACCUCCCUAGGCAGCCUGUUCCUAUGUGUUACUACUCUUCCUGAGAAUAAUUUUUUCCUAACAUUCAAUCUGAACCUCCCUUGGUACAACUUAAGGCCAUCACCUCUCAUCCUAACUGCUGUUACCUAGGAGAAGAGGCCGACACCCACCUCACUACAACCUCCUUUCAUGCAGUUGUAGAGACCAAUAAGGUCUCCCCUGAGCCUUCUCCAGACUGAACAAUCCCAGUUCCCUCAGUCACUCCUCAUAAGACUUCCAGGAAUUUCAAAGGCCGAAAGUCUCGGUGUUAGCAUUAGGAGAUACCAAAAUGAUCUGACCAUGUAGGGAUGCACCUUGUAGUUGUAUCAUCCCCAGUCUGAGGAGUUGGGGCCAGUGUGGAUACCCUUAUUCCAUCUCACCAAAUGAAGAGCAAAAUAGAAAACCAUUCAUGCUGACUUGCCAGCUACUGCCUUUCAAGUAUCAUUACACAUUUCACAACAAUCUUCUCCUUUUAUAAGUACAAUCACUUGUGGCUCUGGGAUCUACCUACCAACUGCUCUUUAUUCAUCAUUUCUCCAGCAACUCAUACCUUAACAACAUUACACCAGAGCAGAGCCUGUCUGUGGCUCCACACAGAGCUCGACAAUGUCCUGCCUACAUGUGGAUGGAUGGAGGCAGUCAGUAAGAAGCAACUUUAGGCACUGCCUUCUCCCUGGGAACUACAGGCAUUGACUCUGGAGCAUAUCCCAGCUCUUGCCAGCACAGUAAGCAAGAGAUUUCAUCAUAAUCAUUUUAAUAUCUUUCAAAUGUUGCAUGGACAGAUAGCAGUCCAGGAAGAAUAUACACUAGAGGGUAGUCAGGGAGCGUGAUUAGUAUUGGAAACAAGUAUUUUUCUUGGCAGAGGAUGAGCAUGCCAUUUGACAGAUAGCAAAACACGGCAAGAAUGCUGCUCAGUAGUAGCAAAUGCCAAACAUUCUCUUGUGUACACCGAAGAAACUGAGUUUUGUUUUGUCUUGUUUUGUUUUUAAGCAUAGGGGAAGGGAGGGGGCUUACCACUGUCUGCAGUAGCACACAUGGCAGUACCUGCUUCUACUGCACUGUGCUCACAGCAGCUGGGAGCAUUUUCCAUGUGGGAUGGUUCUUCUCCCAAACCAAUCUAACAGGGUUAAUAAGCAAUCUGAAAAUACUGACUGGGCUUUAAUUUCUGCUGGUGGAGAGCAAACCAUUACCAUUACCAUCUUUCACACAUACAUGCAUCUCAUCUUCUGUAUCAGUGUCUGUCAGCUGUUGCAGUCAGCCAAGAAAAAAUGGGAUUAUUUCUGAGCAGUCUGGACUUCUGAGAGCCCUUUAAAUUAAAACAAAGCUCUAUGUCAACAAAGUUUUAUUUUGGUAUGUUUUACUCCAUUGCCAUAUACUGCAGAAUAAAGUGUUUGGGUGUCUAAAGAGAAAGUUAAACAGCAAUUAUUUAAUUUUCAGAUUGUCUCUGGUAGGCAUCCAGGGCAAUGAGAUUUUGAUAAAUAUUUUAUAUGGAUUUUUACAGAAUGUGUAUCAUCUGCUCUUCUAUAUGGAAGCAGACAACUUCUUGUCUGUGGUGCCAAUGACUUUUAACCUAAGUCACAGCUUGACAGGAUAGUUUUUUAGAAAACAAAGCACCAGGAUAAAAAAUCAUCCCUUGGCCUGGGAGAGUGAUUUUCCACUCAGGUGCAAUGCAGCUUCUCAGAGUCACUCAGGCAAAGGCUCUGCAGUCCUGAACUGGCCUGGUUUCCUCAGCUGUGGCCUUUUUCUUAUGAGAGGACAGCUGAUUGCAUGACCCCAUGAAACACAAUUUAGUGGAUAAAUCUGGAAGGCAAAACAAAUCCUUGCUUUUGAACCAAGCCCAAGAUAAACACCUGGGUAAAAGAAGAGCCAUCACACAGCUUUUCACAGAACCAGCUCUUCCAAAGUUUGGACACAACACUUUUCAUUCUUCAUUCAUUUCUUAGGGCUUGUGAAAGUAGAAGUGUUUUCUUCAGCUCUUGAUUUUACACGUUCAGUCAUGCUACCUGCUAUGCUUGGAACAAUCUUGUACAUCCUUUCAUGAAAUCUCCUCCCACCUCUCCAUACAAUGCAUUCCCACAGCAGUGCUGCCUCUUCUUUUCCUCUAAGGUCACUGCUCUCCCUAGAAUUUGGGCCAGCUGUUACUCCUGUGGCGUUGUUCACUUUCUCCAGAUUACCCUGUGUACUCCUCAGGGAUGCAUACCUUACUACACACUGGAGAAGCAAACUGAAGUCCAACCAAAGUUAAUGGCAAAAUUCCCAUCAACUUCAACAGAGCCAGGAUUUUGCUCAAAGUAUUCAAAUGAGUCCUUCGCUGGGCGUCUGUGAUGCAGAUAUUUCUGUGUCCAAGGGCAAAUUGUAUCUCCUAUCUACAUGUAAAGCAGACCGGACAGCUAAUAUUUUCAGUGUAGUAUUUCUGUCUAAAAUAAGCAAUUUUGUCUGAUAGCAAUAUAGAAUUUUAUAUAGCAUGUAAAAGCCUGAUUAUAUAAAGCUUUUUGUUCUUUUUUUCCACUUCAGUUGGCAAAUAUAUAUUUGCAGAUAUCUUAUCUAUAUGUUGCUGUUUCCUUGAGCACCUCAAACAAUAAAUCGAAACAUGCCUCAUGGUAACAUUGUUGGGUAUUUUUCUCUCACCCACAUACAUACCUACAAAGGUUUAAAAUACAACUUUUGAAAAGAUUCAGGACUGAAGGGGGAAAAUAAUCUUAUUAUGCAACAAUUAAUUGUCCUGCCAAAUGUGGGUGCCUUGGAAGCUUGAACAACCCGCCAACACACCUGUGUACAUUGGCAUUAAGUUAAAUCAAUAACAAAAAAAAGGCCCGCAGCCAAUUACCUGUCACAUGGAGAUUCAUUUUAAGUGGAGGUUUUACAAGCAUAACUUGAAUCAUAUCAUACUUACAAGAUAGUCCGUAUAUGAUAUUUACAAAGAUAUUUGAAUUGAGAAUAACAUUGAACCAAAAAGCUGUGUAUUACAAUGUCAUUAAGAAGCAAUCAACAGACACAGUAGCAAUUAAUUUUCUGUCACAACAGAGAACAGUAAUUUACCAAAAUACAGAUAGGAGCAAAAAGAAAUGUGUUUUCUCUAAAUUGCAAUUUCUUGUGAUUAUUAUCAUACAUUAGGCCAGGAAAAAUGUCAUUUCCUACUUCCUGUCUUUCACUGUCUUGAUAUAUAUGCCUCACGUAUGCCCAUUUAUUGCUUUGUAAUUAUUUUCCAAAUAGUUCUUUGGUUGUUUAAAAACAGCUCAGCCUUAUUUCUUGUAUUUUUUUCCAGUAUAUGAAGAAAUUACAUGAUUACUAUUUCCUCCUUUACAGUGAUUGCCAAACCAGGUUCAUGAACGUAACAAUCAUGCAGUAUGGAGUAAACAGGAGUCAGAAGCACAGUUCUGUCCCUCUUCCAGUUCUGCCCAUCAAGGCACAUCAGACAUCAAGGAUGGUCUCGUAGGUAGUUUUCAUAAUGGGAAAGGACCUAAUAGUGGUAACAAAGCCUUGAUGUGCAAGAUGCUGUAUGAAUCUUCAGCCCCCAUCCAUUUCAGUAGAUGUUAAAGGUGCAAAGUAUUUGGCCUAAUUCAUCAACUUGUCUUUCUCUACUUACUUCUUCACCACAGAGUAACUCAAAAAGUCACUGUAGGUUUUGAGUUGUUCUCUGCAGUCCUGUAUUCUAGAUUCUAUUUUUUUUAAAGUAUAUUCAUUUAUUAGUAUGAAUCAUGGUCAAUUUAAAAAGCUUUCAUGUUAAAGACAGUACUCAUAAAAUCUAUAAUGGAUAUUUCAUCCAUUUUCCAAGAAUUCUGAAGAUCAUUUUUUAAUCAUGAUGAAUCAACAGCUCCUUCUGACACAGCACUGUUUCUCCACCAAGGCCAUUGCAUGGCGUGCAGGCAUGCUGUCAGAGCAGAACCAGCUUCAGGAUGUGCUAUGACUUGACCUGCCUGCAAGAGAGGAUAGAACAUCCUCUAACUUAAGAACUCUUCCAGCAAUCCUCCAAUUGUUUCAAAAUUAUUUGAUAAAAAUGCAGUUUAGGCCCUCUUGAGGUUCAUCUUAUAGUGAAAUAUACCUUUACACUAAUACACUGGUAUAAGGCUAGAAUGUAACAGAUGAGAACUGCAGUGGUUCUAACUGCUGUAAUGUUUUGUGAACUGGGAAGAUUUCAUUCCACUUCACUAUGAAUUUGAUCAAGUUAAAUUUCAGUAAGAAAAAUGAUGGUAACAUAAUGCCAAAGAUCCAUUAAACAAGAUCUUACUGCACUAAGUGUUGCAUAUAUUGAAUUAAAAGAUUGCCUUACUGUUAUGGUUUAACCCAGCAAGUGGCAAAGCACCACACAGUCAUUCAUUCACUGUUCCUCUUCCAAGUGGGAUUGGGGAGAGAACUGGAGUUGCGCCAGGGGAGAUUCACGUUGGAUAUUAGGGAAAAUUUCUUCUCUGAAAGAGUGAUCAGGCACUGGAAUGGGCUGCCCAGGGUGGUGGUGGAGUCACUGUCCGUGGAGGUGUUCAAGAAAUGUUUAGAUGUUGUACUGAGGAACAUGGUUUAGUGGGGAAAUAUUGGUGGUAGGUGGAUGGUUGUGCUUGAUCUUGGAGGUCUUUUCCAAUCUUAAUGGCCUCAAUGACUAUGAAUUAUCAUUAAAAGUGACACUCAGGAGAAUAGUUCCAACUGUUCACAAACAUGUUUUCCCUGUCAGACUUGAUUUUCUAUAUUUCCAUAAUUUUUUACCAUAAACUCUGUGUUUUAUAAGAUUGUCUGUAUAUUUGAGGGUUCUCUUCUGAAGAUGUUAUUCCAGAAUGGUUUUAUUCUUUAAAUAUUAAGGUGAAGAGAAUCAAAGAUUUUACACCCUUCCUCUCAAGCUGCCUUAUUCUUCAAAAAAUGUUUAGAAUUGCAUUAACAUCUUGUAAAACUAUAACAUUAGCAGCUAGAAGUCACUGUUAAAGCUUGAAGUCACUGUCAGUGAAGUUACAUUAAUUAAUGUUUCCUGUGUUAAUGUAUCUAAAUCUUAACUGUAAUUGAGUAGUUACAUCAGCUAGGUUGUCCUUUUUACUUUUUCAGACCUUAAGCAGUAUUGAUGAGUAUUUCCUGUUAUCUGAAUAACAAUAUACUCCAGGAUUGUAAAGGUAAUGUGUCCAUUAGCAGUAAGUCUCUCACUGGCCCUUACAGCUCCCACAUCCUCGUUGGAAAACAGGGCCACAGUCCUGAAGACCUGAGGCUGUUUUAAGCUCCUCAAAUAAAGACGUUUCUCUCAAAGCAGAGUUAGAAGCUGAAGAUAACAGAGUGCAAUAGGACUUGUGAAAAGGAUGUCAGCAAUGUCAGUUGUCAUGGUUUCGGGUCUGAGAGAGCGUUAAGUUUCUGAACUUGUUCUGUUAUCAGAGCCACUCUCAGUUCCCCAUUUAUUGCCAAACUAUGUAGACUCAGAGAAGCUGGAAACAUGAGGGACCUGUCUGGCGUCUGAGUUCAGACUCUUUCAGGAAUGCUCCAUACCUAAGUUUCCAAAACAUACCAAGUGCUAAAUGGCUUCAUCCAGGGACCCUUGAAGCCACUGAAGUGCAAUGUAUCAUUGAGGUGCUUUUCUCGUCCAAUAAUUCUAAUUUUUGUAGAGUUACUUGUAAGGUCUUGCAUCUGCAAAGCAGAAAAAAAGAUUGAGAAAACGUUAUUUCCAAAAAUUAAAAAUUAAAUAAAGGUUAAUUUAAUAAAGGUGAUCAUAUUUCAAUUCAAAAAAAAAAAAAAGUAUAGUUCCUUUUCACGGUUUUAACAUCAGAAAUGUUUAAACAGCCAACACCUCCCAGCCAGGUAUCUUUUUUGAAGCAUCUAUAUAUUGAACAAAAUAGUUAGGAGUUAUCAUAUCUACUGCGACCUAGUAGUAUUUUUGAUACAGGAUUUCAGAUCAAUUAACAGAGAGUCACAGAGUGAGAACUACUUAAGAGUGUGUCCCAGGUAGGGCACUGCCAAUGGCACAAGCCAAGCAGAACGCAAGAAUUCAUCCUUGAGAUCCAACUGGAAGAUGUCAUUGAAAUGCCAGCAGUUCCGUCUGCCAGACUUCAAGUUGACAGGAUUGAGAUCUUCCCUCUUUGGAAAAAAAAGACAACAGAUAAAGAUGCCUCAGUGGAAAUAUGCCAGGUUUCUAUGCAAUCACUCACCUCGUCAAGCUGGGAUAAUUUCCACAUUGCUCCAUCAUACAUUGACUCGAAUUACACUAUAACUUUGAAAUCAACAUUUUCUAGUUGUCUCCUUGAAAACUUCUCAAAAUGAUCUUCUUAUCCUUUCUGUUCGUCUGAUGAUCAUAGUAUUUGGAGUACAGUAUUAGCUGCAACUGAGGAUACAAACCGAUACAUAUACUGACUACAGAUAUGUUUGCAUUUACACUUGUGUAUGCGUACUGCAUUGCAGUGGAAAAAAAAAAAACGUUUACUUAAGUGAAAUUGGUAUUACUCUGUUCUCAUAUGGCUAUGCAGAGGGCACGGUUACCUUCCAGUGGGAAAUAGAUACCAUAGAGGCAUUUAACAUCAAGCAGUUGACGGUGAAACUACACACGCUUUCAUAUAAAAUGCCACGGAACUAAGUUACUGCAUUCUUCAAUAUUCUUCUCUGAGACCACUUCUAACUUUUAUGAUCCCUCUAAUUCAAACUUAAGUAAUAGAGAAUGUGUCAAUACAACUUUCCCUUUAAGUAUUGCUAAGGAGCAUGCAGGAGCCCACAUGUUUGCUUAACUGGCCCUGCAACCAACACUGCUAACAAUAAAACCAGAAGUUCAAACCCAGUUCCUUGCUUUCAAGUAUGCCCUUCAAACAGAAAAUACCAGUUUGUCAUCCUUCUAAAACAAAGUGCAUGAUAACCAGGAAUAAAUCUAACGUAUCUACCCCAUCAUUUUACUGACUUUUUUCAACACAUACUUUCUACCAAAGGUAACAGCUACUCAUGGCAUAUAUGCGUGUGCAUUGGUAAGCAUGCCUCAGAGACAUACAACCUCCCCCACCCUGCAUUUUCAAGUGCUAUAACACACUGCCUGCUUCCUAGUCCUGCAAAUACCCUUGAAGUGGAAUAAUGUUUAACAGAGGGCAAUACUGCUGGAGAACUGCCAAAGAAAUGAAGGGUGAGGGAAGCCAGUCAAGGCAUUCUGAUGAAUAUUUUUGUACCUCCAAAGACACAACUAUUAUGCAAACAUUGACCUGUUUGUCAAGCAAUCACAGUUUACUAUUGCUUAAAGGUCACAGAAGUUUCUAAGAUUAUUAAAUAAUGCAUGGAGCCAAAGACCAAGGAUAUUAUUUAAACAGUGGAGGUAACUUUUGUUAGUGAAGGACAAUACGAUGACAAUGCCCCUUUAUUUUCCCUUGAAAAUCUCUAGAGUUUGCACUGUAAUAUAGUAAUGGCCCGUUUAAGCUGAAAGAAGGAACUCUGCUGCGGAAAUGUGGCUCAGUACUACAAUAAAAUAUUACAUGCGUUUUUCUCCCCCUUUCUCUACAUUUGUUGGUACAUGAUUUAUGUUUUUCUACAGGCCUUUCUCUGGUGCUAGGGAGCAACAGUCUCUCCAGCAGUCUAUACGCAUAUAUUUGUGAAUGCAAUGAUCAGUCCCCAUUUGUCUUUCCAAUGUGGAUUAUAAUCCAGUGCAAAAAUUGUUUUGCAACAAUUGAGAGUAUGUGCUGUGCACACAUAAACAGGAAUCAGCAGAGGUUUGCAAAACCUAGUAUCAACUUUGUCAUCUGUUGAGACUGCUUCAUGAUAAGAAAUCCCACACUUACUGUUUCCCAAAGGCUGCAGUCCCUUCUAUUCUCACUAGGCCUUCCAGGUCAUCUCUUCGUGGUCUUCAGACAUUCCCAAGCUCCAGCUAGGUGAGUGAUCCCUUCCAAUGCAAAGAAUUCUGCUCCAUGACCUUCAGUUUCCAGGUAGCUGCCCUUUUGACAGAGACCCAGAAGGGUACAUUUCCCCCAUUUCACCAAGCAGCUACAAAGUUGUUCUGAAAGCUGCAGUGGGCCGGCCCUGGGAUCUUCAUCAGAAACUACAAGCAGAUAAUCUCAAAGGUUUUGUUCCAUCUCAGAAAUAAUCAGUACUUCCCUCUACAUUUAUAAAGCACAGCUGUGUAUAAACUGGAAGAUAAUGGAAGUGAAGUAUUAAUGACAGAAUUUCUGAUUUAAACAAAAUGAAUAAAAAAAGAAUAGCAGUCAUGAAUUUGGGUGGAUUCUAGCACUCAGUGUUUUUUUUUCUUCUUGGUGGUACUUGGCUACUGUUGCCUCAUUUUUAUGAACAUUUAUAUUUGGAAGACUCCCCAUUAUCAUUCUACUUGGUUGCCAACAGCAAAAGCCAUAACGACAGGUCCAAGAAGGGACAGAGAAAGAAGAACAUUUGGAGGCCAACAGAGAACUAAAAUUUCAGUUUCAUUCAUCAUGAUCAUGAAUAUGCACUCCCAUCAAAACAUUUAUAGGUGACUUACAGUAAUAUGAAAGACACCUAGCUGCCAAGAAACCUUUGGUCAUAUCACAGGGCAACCGAGGUUAUCAUCAAGAACAAAAACUAAUCUUAGAAAAAAAAUCCAAUAAAAAGACAAUAUCUCUGGACAAUUAUUUCACAUGACAAAUAUCACGACUUCAUAGAAUAACUCAGUCAUUCCAAGAAGCACUAUUUCUCCUGGAAAUCCAGAUGAAGUGAUUUGUGGAGUGGGAGGUACCUAAUAAAGCCAGUGGAAGUGUUGGCAGGGAGUUUAAUGGCACAGCACCAGAAUGACACUCCUGACCUUACAGUUUAAGCAAGAUGCCUUCAGAGGAAAGAGAAGAAAGAGCCCGUUAUUAAUGGAGUUGACAGAUACAGAAUUAAGCCUGAUAAACCCAAACUACAUUCUUCAGAGUCACCUUCCCACUGAAAACUUAUGGGCAUUUGUACUUACAUGCAGUAACUUCAUUUCUUAUCCCAAGAGGAGGUGAGUAUUCGUUUGUAUACCCUGGAGACUCUUCAAAUAAACCACUGCUCAGGGCACUGUCUGCCAGACCCACCUUCCCUAUGAUCUAGGGGAGAAAAGCAUCAAAUGAAAGCCAGAAAGUUCACCCAUCUGGAUGCAACCUGCACGUACUAAAGUGGGCAUGUCUGUUCUGUUAGCAGAGAUCCCCAGCUCCCAGCUCAGUGCAGCGCCAGGAGGAGACACCAUGCCAGGUCAUGAAGCCAGAUCUGUAUUCAUAGGCUGUUGCACCCAAAUAAGAAAUCCUCUCUGUCCACAUCCAGCAGUAAUACAUGGCAUGCACCCAGUGUGCUCAGGUGGAUUAUACAGAUGUGUGCAGUACCUAAACCAUGCUGCUGCCAGCUCUCCAUGGCAACUCAUUUCAGCAAAGACAGGGACACUUGUAGGAAAGCAAACUGAUGCAGGAGAAUUUAAUAAGUCUUGAGCCUACAUGAAAAUAAAGCCAAGCUUUCCUUAUCCUGUCUUGUCCUCACUGUUCAAUAAAAAGAAUGCAAGAAAAAAAAGCAAUCUGUAGAGUAUAAAUCAUGACUUGAUAAAUGUAGGUCCUUAGAAGCCAGUUGUGUAAAUACAGAUACACCUGCAGGCCCUGAUAACCAGAUUAGCAGUAACAGCUGCCAGACCAUGCAGCAACAACCAAGAGAUAUUGUUGUGUCCUGGCCAACGAAGUUUCCAGAUUGACUCUCAGGUGCUUCCCGUACAUCACUGUUAGUGAGAGCAAUGCAUCAUGAAAGUAGAUGAUCUCCAUUGAUCUUGAAAAUGUAACAUUUUUCUCUUUGAAUGUAUACAAUGCAGUUUGACACUCGCACUAGUUCACAGUACCUCCAGUGUACAAAGGGAUGAGACUUUGUCUGCUGGCAGCUGGGAAGAAUAUCUGAACAGGAAAAAAGAAGUUGUGUCUGGGUUUGGUAUGACCUCAUGUUAAAUAGUAUAUCCUUAUUGGGUAAAUAUCCAUAUCAACUGAUUCAUAGGUGUCCUGCCUUACCUGUUCUUAUUGAAAAUUAGAAUCUAAAAUUAACAAUUUUUCUUGGCAAAGCUCCACUUGAAUUGCAUGAAAAAAUCUGAUGAGCCUCAGAGUGACAAGAAGUACAAGCUAGAUCUACAAAUAUACACAGGCAUAGACAGAGGGGAAAAAAAAACUUUUUGUCCCUACCAACAAAUCUAACAUCAGUGGUUCUAUCUCAGCACUGCUCUUGUUAUUCUUCCUAGAAAUAGAGAUAGUUCAAAGACAAUAUAAUAAAAUUUAGGUGCUUGUGACCCACUGAGACUGUUGAGCCAGGCCUUCCUUGGUGGUACAGUUCCACUGGGGCUGAGGCAGUGGUAGAGCCAGGGCUGAUAACAUCAUCCUCUGGCAGCCCCCAACACAGCAAGCCAUCAACCUGCCAUGAGCAGAAGGAGGUGGGCCCAGAGACACUGCUGUAGAGCAGUUCUCCUGCAACAUUGCCAAAGCAAGACAACCAGCACCAGGCAGGACUGAAACAAGGCUCCUGGGCAUGGAAAGCAGUGGGUUGAGGCUCCCACUAUGAGUAGUAUCCUCAGAAAAAUCCUUUAUAGGAAAGUGUUUGAAUACCUUUAUAUCCAAAUUCAUGUGAUAAUCCUGCCCUAAAGGACCUAGGCAUGAACUAACCAGCCAAGAACUAGUCUUCCACCACGAGUAUCGGGUCUAGACUAAAAAGCCUGUGUUUCUACUCAUUUCUAAUGAUUCAAAUGACUCCCUUCUUGACAAGAAUAUCUACUGCAACCAAAAACAGUGAAAACUUGAUAUAAGUUGAAAUGUUGACUGUAUAGUUAAUAUGGACUGAACACCUAGCCAGAUCAAAAUAACUGAAAUAAUUGAAGGGUUACUGUAUGCUGGAUGUCUCUUGUCUUUGUGAGUAGUGGAAUGGAUACUCUCACAGCCAAGCUGUGAGGCAACCAAUUCAGCCUUCACAUUUCCAGUCAAGAGGCACUGCACUGCAGACAGAACUCUGAAGAAUAAUUACUGAUUACUAAUAUACUGUGGAGAAAUUGCUUUAUUACAAGGUGCAUUCUAACAUGCUGUAAAGAUGUACAAAAAAAAAAACAAAACAAAACAGAAAAAUUAAAUACUUAAAAGAUGAUUCUAGCUUGUUGUGGCCUGUUGCAAAGCAGUUAUAAAUUGGAGUACUUACAGCGGUUCAUGCAUGUCCCUGCAUGUUUGAACAGCAUAUCAGAGAAUUUAUUUAUCAGGGGAAAAAAAAGUCUCUGCUAAGUCAUUUAGUUCUUAAAAAGGUUCCUGUCAUUUACAGUUUUGCCAGAUUCUAUAAGGCGCAAUACCAGAUUGUCACAUGGGAAAGGCUUGCAGAUUCAAGUCCUUAUUCUUCCCUGUAGCGAGUACUGGAACGAACAAAUUUGGGACACAGAGGUUACGUCAAAGCCUUCCAACUCUUUGAAGGAUAAUUACCAUACCUGCAUAAUCACAUGGUCUACCUUCCAUGCGUUCAUGUUAAGGAGAGGACAUUAAUCUAACUAACGCCCAGCGGCUGACAUUAUAUAUAUAUAUAUAUAUAUACAAUAGUUCUCUAUAAGAUAUAGCACACCACUUAACAGCUGCAGAAAACUCCUUACUACAUUCACAAACCCUUGAUGGAAAGAGCUGCUUAAUUCUUUUCAGACCUGUCAUAUUAGGUAAGAGUGUUCUGCUGCAGGAUGAUGAUGAUGCUAAUUGUCACUUUGUAUUGUUUCACUAGACAGCCUAGCCCACUACUUUAUUAUGGGUUAUGUAAGAGUUACAAGAGGUAGCCAAUAAACAGUGCACUAACAGAAUCAUUUACACUCUGAAAUGUUCAGAAGUACUCACAGGUAUGUCUAGAAGUCAUCUAAAACAACGCUUUGGUUCCAGGGGAUGGCAUGUGCUGAUGCUAUGAUCUAUGUAAGACUCUCCUCAGCAAACAAAUCACAAAGAAUGUUCCCGCAGCUCUUGGUGUCGGAGGCUUGGAGGAGCUCAUCCUCUUUCAUGUUAUGCAGUAUCCAAAGAGACUAUAGUGCAAUAUUCCCCUUUUCACUAUCUGUACAAAGGUUUUGGUUGACUGGCAAGGAAAUAAUGGAAUCAAAUGGCACAUAACAACUGGCCCUCUCCCAGCGCUUGUCCAUCUUCUUUCAGUCCAUUUGUGAAAUCAUAUGGAAAUCUCAGCAAUGUUGGGAUGUCCAAACAAGCAUGGUGAGCCUUUCAGUCCCUAUUUAAUAUAUUAAUGAUCAAGAAAUUGUGUCCUUUCUCACGUGGUUUGCAAAUCUUUACUGCUGUCAUUUCCACCGGAAAGUGGUAAAAUAUGGAAGUGUUUUGAUGGAGGGAGGAGGAAAAUCUUUUCAGAUACAGUGUAGAAACAAAUAAACACAAGACAUAGUUCCUGGUUUGUAACCAAAAUCAAUAGCCAUAUGCAGCAGGACUGAGGUCAAUUUAUGCUCCCAUGUUUCACAUAUUGACAAAAUCUGUAUUAUUGUAAUGCUGUGUUUUAUUAACCUAUGUCUAAUAAAGCUUAUACUUCAUUAAAAAGCCAUUUUCAAACAGAUUCUAUGCAUUUUAUUAAUAAAUAAAUUUUAUUACUUACUGUAAAAUCAGUAACAUAAAUAAAGUACAUUAAGCAUGUCCUUUUACCUACAGAAAACAUAUCACAACUAUUUUCCUCCAAGAUCUAAUUAGAUUAAGCUUUCAUUUUCAAAACAGAAGAAAAUACCUGGGGCAGAUCUGGCUAUAAGUCAGCACCAUACCUGUUGGCUUCUUUGUUUUGUAUUUUUGUUUAUUUGGUUAUUAUUUUACCAAGUAGCAAAUUUGCCUAUGUAAUAAACAAAAGGAGCCCUCUUGUGAUAGAGCCUACUCAAAAGUAAAAACAGAUACUCGUGAAAAUAUCAAAUGAUUAAUUUUUUUGCAUUUUUUAAACAAUUAAAUGGUGUUCAUUAAUAUUUCAUACUGCACAAAUAUUUUUAUAAUCAUGCUUGCUAUCUCUGUAACAUUCAGAUAUGCCUGCAAAUGUUGAGUAGCCAUAGAUCCUAGAGUCAGGCUCUUUAUUACAUAUGCUUAUAACUAUGACUCAUAAACAAGUGCUAAACUAAAUGCAGCAUAUGCAAUUGUUGAAAUAGCACUUUGUUUGGGGGAAAUAGCGUCUUGAAUUAAUGCUAUGAUGGAAGUGUGAACUUGUAUAACAUAUCUGAGUUUCAAUUUCUUACCUUUAAAAUGGGAGAAUUAACUUCAAAUGCUGAGUAUAUCACUCUUGUAAGAGAUAACAAGUCUGGAAACCAAGGAGAGUCCACAGGGUCCUCAUUGUUGAAGCAGGACAAGAAAAUUAAUUUCCCUAGUAAUUAAUAUGUUGCCACUGCAGUAAUAGACCAACAUGACAAGGUGAAGGAUCUUAGUACGAAUAUGAUCCAACAUGAUGCUUGAGCUGCAUGUUGAAAGUAGACAUUGACAUUGAUUGUUUCAUUUCUGGGAGCCUAUCAUCCAUGGCCCUAAUUAACUGCAUUUGGAAAUCUGUGUGAGCUACCUAUGGAACAGGCUUUGUCUGUCCUUACAUUUCUCCCUGAAUGGGGCUGCAAGGCUAAACUCUCUGGUUGCCUACUUUUAUAGUGGGGACAGUUGCAAUACACAUGAGCACAUUUGAAUGGCUGCUUUAACCUUUUCAGUGAGGAGAAGAUGCUCAACCAUGAGACCUCUUGUGAAGAGGAGGCAACACGUCCCAUACCCAAUUCAUUUCACAGAGGUCAUCCAAGUGCUUUCACCAAAUUCUCUUAUUUUCAUUGUGACAUGAGAAGACAUUCUUAUUGAAGUGUGCUUAAAAGAAAGCAGUCCUUGAACUCUGGAGUGACAGAAUUUUGUCUUCGUAGUUCAGUGUGGUCUACUUAUUCCCUGUGAGAGCAGAAGCAAUGCAGGGAGCACACCUUUCCCUCCAACAAUAUGGGAGGGGCUGAUACCUGGGACCUCAGUGAAGCACAGGCUGAGUUUAUUCACAGUCCAGAUUUCCUCAUUACUCCCAUGUUAUCAUUAAUAUUUCAGAUCUCCUCAAAGUCAAAAUACCAGAAUAUCUUUGUUCUCAUGAGAAAUCCAACAGCUCCUGGGGGGAAAACGCUAUCUGGAGAAAAAUCCAGACUAGAAGUGUUUAGCUGAAAAUAAUCCCCACUUUCGUUUUAAUUUACUCAUAUUUUAAUUGGAGGGAAAGAGAUGUGGGAAAUAUUGGUGAGCAGUGAAAAAGAAAGAAAGGCAAAUUCUGUACACCAAUCACUGGAGUAAAAGGUCACACCAAGGGGCAGAAUUUCCCUUCACUACAGCUGAUAGUGUUCCUCUCUAUGGAAUAUCAAGGGGAAAAAAAAUCCUAAAGUUCAGUGCUUUUCAGUGAAAAUAUUUGAUUCUUAGUCUCAAGAUUUAGACUGAGAACAGGAGGCAGUGAUGGAAUAAAUGAGAUGGAAAAAACCCUAUUAACACUCCAGGUCUCCUAAGAGUAGAAGUGACAGAACAGCCUUGUUCUUUUAAACAGAGUGCAGAGGACAUUUUAGCAGAAAACAACAACCAGCGAUAAGAUCCUAUUUGAGGGGCAUCGAUUUUCCCCUCAGGGCUCUACAUAGAAAAGAACGUAACAGCACAUUUUACUCCUGCUGGAGAUGUGCUAAAGCAGCUGUCCAGUACUUGGAAUAGAAGGAAAAACUGUUCUGAAGCACUUCUUUGUUACUUCAGUCUUUCUCUAUAUCUGAUGCAAGUCAGAAUUCAACCUUUGCAAAAUCACAAGUUGUACUCAGCUCUGGAUUUCAGAGUUACGGACCAACUCCUCCAUCAAUUCCUAUUUCCACCAUUCCUAUUUCUCUUAGUCAUACACUACACUGGUACCCUACAAUCACAACUUUCCCACAGUACUGAACUUCAAACAGUAAAUCACACACAAUACCAAAGUCUCAUUGAAGAGAGGUUUCAACCCAUAGUGAAAAUUGGUCUCCUGUUUUUUCUUAAAAACAGGAAUAAAUUAGUAUUUGCAAACUGACUAUAACACAUCUGUAGUAUUGAGAGCUUUGUAACAGCACCCUUCCAGAGAUCUACCCUGUGUGUGUCCUCCCUUACAUUUAAGUUUCUGAAGUGAGGAGCCGACAUCACACAAGCAAGGCUGGAAGGAGCCCUAUGACAUCACCUCUGCUAUCUUUCUUCCCCAAGGUAUCAAAAGAAGUAAUUUAAGGGCAUUCUGAUAGAUCAGAGAUAGCCACCCAUUUUGUUUGGAGAAAGUAUAUGAAAGCUUUCGUACUUCAGAAGACUAUAGAACAGGCUAGAACUUUCAGAGCAAUACUUCUAUUUUCUGGCACAUUUUUUUCUAACUCGGGAACUCUUUUCACAAGAGUUUUGAUCUCAGGUUUAUCAGGCAGUUGGGGAAGAAAAGAUAAGGACUGAAACAUUUCAAACUAACUGAAAGUAUCUGUGUAAGACUGAACCUAAGGGAAGAUGAAAACUCAAAAGUGGGCAGUUGUGUUCUUGUUUAUCCCAAUCUCACCACACCCACAUGGUAGCAAAAUAGGCCCCAUGCCGAGAAUUUGUGGCAAGAGCCUAUUGUGUGGGCUUGGAAUAAUUUAAGAAUUGACUGUCAGUCUGUUUCUUGGCUUCCAGCUAUGAAGUAAUGCUCUAAGUAGAGAGCGAUACUCUGAAGCGCUCAUUACAAUCUUUAAAGCUGUCUCAUUUUCAAUUAUGAAUAUUAAAAAGAAGUACUCAGUAAUUCCUGCAUGAUAAUUAAUAUUCCAACUUUUGGUGUGGCUUGUUGGUUUUUUAAGGUCUAUUUUUAAAGACACUCUCUUAACUUAUUCCGGAGUUAGUUCCCAACAACCAAAUAUUGUUCCUGUUUAUAUCAGUGGGGAAAGUCCCAGUGAAAAAACUAAUCAGACCGAAGUUAAUGAAAACAACACCCCCAUUUAAAACAAUGCCCUAGCCUUAAACAAUCUGCUCGCAUUGCCUACUUGUAUAAAAUUUUAUAGCCUGCAUGUUCCAACCUUAAAAAAAAAAAUCCUGAUUAUUUAUUUAUGCCCUUUUUGUUUAAGAAGUUAAAUCCCCAGAGCAUCUCAAUUUAGAUCAAAAGCAAGCUACCAAAAUUCACCUGGCACACCUGUGCCGUGUGAUUUCUUAAUUACUUGCCUAGCAUUCUCAGAGCUACAAGGCAGAGAUGCAGGGCUCGUUUAGCACAUAUUCAGAUCUCUGCAAUGAACCUUGUGUAACAGAGACUUUCCAGAGUGCCCGAGGUGGUAACCAGUGUUAAACGAUCCCAUAUCUCCACAAACACUUGCAUUUCAGCAAUUUGCUUUCUCACAGGUUUCAGAAGACAGAGAGCUAUCUUGGGGUGAGUAAUCUGGGGAAAUAGAUUGAUUUAUUUAUGAGUUUCUUGAUGAAGGUUUUCCCCGGCUAGUGAGCAGCAUGGAGUUCCUUGCGCCAGUAGAGCCUUCUCAGUUCGAAGCGUAGAAGUAGGCCUAUUAAUUAUGAUAGCCACAGGUUGUUAUUACUUACAUUUAUGAUGCAACACCCUAGGAACCAAGGGAAGAGUUUGGCCAUUUCUGUUACACCUCAGACAAGUCUUCAGUUGACAGUCACGGACAUUAACCUAAAAAGAUGUACUCAAAACAGGAGCAUGAGGUAUGGCACAAACAAGGCUCAUCUGAGGGAGCACACCCCAAGUUUUUGCUGAGACACUUCUUCCUCUUGGCUACAGGAUGUUUCUACACAGUGAUGAGAAACUGAGUUCACAUGUUAGAUGUGACUGCUGCUAUGCUGAUAUGCACGACUGACCAUUGAUAUGCCCCUUGUCUAGCCAGAGAACAUGCACCACUUGGAUGUAGAUGGGCUCAAAUUCAUGUUCAGUUUGCACGUACACUGACAAUUGUGUACAUGCAGGAGAAGAUCAAUCAUGUCUUAAACCUCCCUAGCACUGAGCACUCCUAGCUGUGUGUCUUCAUGCACGCAGUUUUAUAUUUUAAUAGGAUAGUCACGGUAAUUUGUUCUUUACAAGCGGUUUGGAUAGCAAUUAGGCAUCAAAUAUUACAGCUGCUUCUUUGGCUAUUUGUCAUUAGUGUAAUUUCAUUAAUUGGACAAAGCAUUGACUCUGUUAACCUGAAUAUAAUUUAAACUGCUGAAAGCUGAUGGCAUCUCUCUUGGUACAGUGAAAAUACACUGCUCUGUCAGAAAGCUAAAGGCAAUUAUUACUAUUAAUAGUGCAUGCUUCCACAGCACAAAGAAACUUCAGUGCCAUCAGGAUUCCUUACAUGCAAGAGAUGAAGCAGUUGACUUGAAUCACGCACAAAAUGAACAGAUGCAACCUGUGAUCCCUGCUUUAUCAGCGUCAUUCACUGUGACCAUUAAUGGACACAGAAAACAUUCAAUUCGAUAAUGUGUCUUUUCAUGAAAGAUUUUAGGAGAAAAUAUUUUCAGUUGUUUGCUUCAAAAUUCAAUUUUUCAUUGAGAAACAUAUCCAUUGCCAAGAAUAUUGCCAAAAAUUGCCAAAAAGUCCCAAAUGGAACCAGAGAUGCUGAAAAGGCUCUGCACAAGAUCUGUUUCAAGCAAAUAGAAGUCUCUUUUGGCAACACCAUUCUGAUUUGAUUACAGGAAAAGACAAGCCAGUAAAUUUUAAUUUGUAGAUUUGUAAUUUGUUCAUAAAAAUUUCAAAUAAUUUUGCAAGGAAGAUUGCCGUGUAUCUUACAGAUAAUACAAAAGAGAUCUUCAGGUACACUGAGAUUCGGUUGAUCAAGAUACUAAUUACUAAGCUACAUUUAAUUUCAAAAUUUUAAAAUGCUUGAAAACUCAACCAAUCAUCUCUGUUCCUUGAAAACACAUUGUUUUUCAGAAAUAUUACAGAAAAUCUGGGAUAUGGAGAUAUUUUUAAAGGUUGUGCUUCAUAACAAUGCAUUUCCCAGCUUCCUCUGUGCAAUAAAAAGGUAAACUAAGUUAUCAACAAGAAAUCUAUCUGCUAAAAGUUAAUAACAAACAUCUGCUGGUCUCCUGGGAGAGACAGUGGAAAAUGGGUGGGAAUUUCCAGCUUUAAGCAGCCACUCCCGCAGUGUUCAAGUCAACAGAAAAACCUGUCAGUAGAAGGUCAGAGUCAUUAGGAGAUUUUUUCCCCUGCAGAGAAAUAGAUCAGAUACCCAUAAUUUCAGAGACAUUAUUUAGGAUUUUACAAAGUUCUCACAUUAGGUGAAGCUCUUAUGUAAAGCCUACCUUUCGGAGCUACAUUUUAAAGGCUUAUAAGACCACCCUGAAAGGUGCAAAGGAGACACGAACAAGCUCUUGUCAGUGGUGCCCAGUGCUAGGACAAGAGGUGACGGGUGCAAACUGGGGCACAGGAGGUUCCCCCUGUCCAUCAGGAGGCACUUCAGUGCUAUACAGGAGACAGAGCACUGGCACGGGGACACAGAGAGGGUCUCCUCUUUGGAGAUCUCCAAAAGCCACCUGGAUGUGGGCCUGGGCACCCUGCUCUGGGUUGUCCCGCUGGAGCAGGGAUGGGCCAGAUGACUCCAGAUACCUCUUCCAACCUCGGCCAUUCCAUGAUUCUGUGGCUAUAAGCAAGCAAAGGUCCCAAUCCACAAAAGAAUACAGUUUAAAAAGAUUCCUAACAUCAGCAAAGUCGAGACAAUAUGUAAUGUCCCAUAUGUUCAUGAUCCUAAGCCCCUUGCGCUAUCUUAGGUAAUGCUCUUUUAGUGUCAGAAAUGUCUCAUUUGCCAAUCACUAAGAAUACAUACAUAAGCCAUUAUUUCUGUUCAGUUGAUUCAUGGUCAUUUGUUAGAUUACAGUAAUAUGAUUGUGACGCUGAGUCCUAAGAAGUCAUUAUCUAAGGUAAUUAUAAAUUCUAAAGGAGCAAAAUACUUUCAGCACAUAGAGGGAAAGAACAGGUAGUUUAAUAUGAAGUUCUGCAGGUACCUUCAGAAUGUCUGACCUGAAAGAUGCCAGGUUUUAAUGAGGAAAGAGGAUAAGUGCUGAUAUUCUGUUCUUGUUAACUUGAAAAUUUUGAGAUACUUAAAAACUUUUUUUUAUCCAUAGUUUAUAGAAAAAUUAGCUCUUUCAAUUUGCUAACAAAGUUUUCACCAUGAUAUUAUAUAAUAUUGACUGUAGCAUGGUAAGACUUAAAAUGGGUAAAAAUCCAUUACUAUUUUUGCAGUUUUCUUUCUUACCAAACCACUUAUUCAGCAAACAAAUAGCAUAAGGUGAUACUAUUUUCAGGUAUUUUCCUGUCUCUGGGAUAACUGCUGAAGCUUACAUCUGUAAAUAUUAGCUUAAGCAACCUGUUAAAUAUAUUUCUGGUCCUCAAAGAAAUAACUGUAGUUAUAUUUAAGCAUUCCUACUUACGAACAUUUUCACGUAAGUAUCUUCUACCAUCAUUGGCUAAUAUCUCUGCCGACCAACUGUCAUGGAUGUGGCGCAGUUCAAAUCAUCUUGCAUUUCUGUGGGUUUACAUCAUCUUAAACCUGUAUUAAUUUGAAGGUACAUUUGGCACAAUGUGAGUUUUAUGGGCAUCACUUGUAGCAUCAGCAAUUAUUGAGAUUACUUGUUUCUUCUCAUUUCAAGCAUGUUGGUGCUGCCAGUGUUACAGUCAUAUGACUAGCGUGAGCCUGACAUGUCAGACACCUGUCUGAGCUUGAAAGAUUUUUGGAAAACUUCAUCCUAAGGAGUUCAGCUUUUUCCAACACUUUGACCAUGGAAAAAUCCCCAUCUUUUUCAUGUUAAACUCUGAAGUAACCUUUUUUUUUUUUUUUUU
ensembl:lncRNA